GAUAGCUAUAAAUUGUCUGCAUUUAGUUCAAAGUCUAAAUGAAUGAAUCUCAAUAAACAGAUGGCGUUGUAUGGUUGCUAAUCCAACCGCUAGAAGUUCUAUUUCUUGGCACUAGAUGGCUUUGGAUUGUUAUAGCUAAGCACUAGAUGGCUUAAGUGAAUAAUAGAUGGCGUUGGAGGCCUGGUAUGAAGUCCAUUACAACCCUACUGAAGUCCGAUAGAUGGCGUUGAAAUCCAAUAGAUGCUUUCCUAAGCAUGACCGGAAUUCCAACAGAUGGCGUCCCAAGCAUGACCUGAAGUCCAAUAAAUGGCGUUGCAAGCCUGACCUGAAGUCUGAUACGUGUGAAUGCCUGCUACAUUAGCAGACAAUUUACCAUAGCAACAGGUUUUAAGUUUACCAGAUACGAACAUUUAAAACAGAUGCAAGAUAUUUUUCAAGUAACUACCACUGGUUACGUUCUGGAAUGGUGUGUGGAAGCCAAUUAGGAAUUGUUGGCCUUCGAUGAAUGUUACAGGAGAGGAAAAGAAAAAAUAUGAAUUGGAGAAUGUUUUGUGUAAAGGUAAAAUAUUCUGAAAAGUAUAACUGAUAUUGAUAAUUUAAUUUCCACACAUCCUGGUAAUGAUUCUAUGGUUAAGCUUCCUCUCUUGUAAACUCAUUUCCUCUUGUUUCAUAUUUUACAUGAGUGACACUAAAUGUGUAAAUAGUUAACAUGGGAAAAAUCACCUGUGCUCAAGUAUAUGACCUGCUGUCUGGCCAGUGGAGUUUCAGGUGCAAUUAGUUACUUGUAUAAUGCUUUGGUGAUACUAUACACUUAACUGCAUACAAUAAGUAUUUUUAUGCCUUCAGGUGACUUGUGGAAUUGCAUAGUAAUAGAGCUGUCAUACUAACCUGAAUACCUUAGUAUUUGUUUUUCAUUUGUUUGUUUUAUGUUGUCCUCUGCUCUCCCUUUUUUGUCCCUGUGUAAGUGAUUUAUAGGUACGAUAUGUACGAAAUUCAAACUGGUUUUCACACUUUUGGUAUAAUAUCAACUAAUUCCAAAUUUCAGU